rnacentral:rRNA from 1 species
ACGGGUGGCGUAACGCGUAUGCAACCUGCCUGACACAGGGGGAUAAUCCGAAGAAAUUUGUCUAAUACCCCAUAAUACCGAUAUAGGCAUCUAUGUUGGUUGAAGCUUUGGUGGUGUCAGAUGGGCAUGCGUUGUAUUAGCUAGUUGGUGAGGUAACGGCUCACCAAGGCGACGAUACAUAGGGGGACUGAGAGGUUAACCCCCCCACACUGGUACUGAGACACGGACCAGACUCCUACGGGAGGCAGCAUG